AGUGAACGCUGGCGGUAGGCCUAACACAUGCAAGUCGAACGGCAGCACAGUAAGAGCUUGCUCUUACGGGUGGCGAGUGGCGGACGGGUGAGGAAUACAUCGGAAUCUACUUUUUCGUGGGGGAUAACGUAGGGAAACUUACGCUAAUACCGCAUACGACCUACGGGUGAAAGCAGGGGAUCUUCGGACCUUGCGCGAUUGAAUGAGCCGAUGUCGGAGUAGCUAGUUGGCGGGGUAAAGGCCCACCAAGGCGACGAUCCGUAGCUGGUCUGAGAGGAUGAUCAGCCACACUGGAACUGAGACACGGUCCAGACUCCUACGGGAGGCAGCAGUGGGGAAUAUUGGACAAAGGGCGAAAGCCUGAUCCAGCCAUGCCGCGUGAGUGAAGAAGGCCUUCGGGUUGUAAAGCCCUUUUGUUAGGAAAGAAAAGCAGCAGGUUAAUACCCCGCUGUUCUGACGGUACCCAAAGAAUAAGCACCGGCUAACUUCGUG
rnacentral:rRNA from 1 species